rnacentral:rRNA from 1 species
AUUGAACGCUGGCGGCAGGCUUAACACAUGCAAGUCGAGCGCCCCGCAAGGGGAGCGGCAGACGGGUGAGUAACACGUGGGAAUCUACCCAUCCCUACGGAACAACUCCGGGAAACUGGAGCUAAUACCGUAUACGCCCUUUGGGGGAAAGAUUUAUCGGGGAUGGAUGAGCCCGCGUCGGAUUAGCUAGUUGGUGGGGUAUAGGCCUACCAAGGCGACGAUCCGUAGCUGGUCUGAGAGGAUGAUCAGCCACACUGGGACUGAGACACGGCCCAGACUCCUACGGGAGGCAGCAGUGGGGAAUAUUGGACAAUGGGCGCAAGCCUGAUCCAGCCAUGCCGCGUGAGUGAUGAAGGCCUUAGGGUUGUAAAGCUCUUUCGCCAGGGACGAUAAUGACGGUACCUGGAUGAGAAGCCCCGGCUAACUUCGUGCCAGCCGCCGCUGUAAAAC